AACGAACGCUGGCGGCAUGCCUAACACAUGCAAGUCGAACGAGACCUUCGGGUCUAGUGGCGCACGGGUGCGUAACGCGUGGGAAUCUGCCCUUGGGUUCGGAAUAACAGUUAGAAAUGACUGCUAAUACCGGAUGAUGUCGAAAGACCAAAGAUUUAUCGCCCGAGGAUGAGCCCGCGUAGGAUUAGGUAGUUGGUGGGGUAAAGGCCCACCAAGCCGACGAUCCUUAGCUGGUCUGAGAGGAUGAUCAGCCACACUGGGACUGAGACACGGCCCAGACUCCUACGGGAGGCAGCAGUGGGGAAUAUUGGACAAUGGGCGAAAGCCUGAUCCAGCAAUGCCGCGUGAGUGAUGAAGGCCUUAGGGUUGUAAAGCUCUUUUACCAGGGAUGAUAAUGACAGUACCUGGAGAAUAAGCUCCGGCUAACUCCGUGCCAGCCGCCGCCGUAACAC
rnacentral:rRNA from 1 species